rnacentral:rRNA from 1 species
GAUGAACGCUAGCUACAGGCUUAACACAUGCAAGUCGAGGGGAAACGGCAUUGAGUGCUUGCACUCUUUGGACGUCGACCGGCGCACGGGUGAGUAACGCGUAUCCAACCUUCCCAUUACUGUGGGAUAACCUGCCGAAAGGCAGACUAAUACCGCAUAGUCUUCGAUGACGGCAUCAGAUUUGAAGUAAAGAUUUAUCGGUAAUGGAUGGGGAUGCGUCUGAUUAGCUUGUUGGCGGGGUAACGGCCCACCAAGGCGACGAUCAGUAGGGGUUCUGAGAGGAAGGUCCCCCACAUUGGAACUGAGACACGGUCCAAACUCCUACGGGAGGCAGCAGUGAGGAAUAUUGGUCAAUGGGCGGAAGUCUGAACCAGCCAAGUAGCGUGCAGGAUGACGGCCCUAUGGGUUGUAAACUGCUUUUGUAUGGGGAUAAAGUUAGGGACGUGUCCCUAUUUGCAGGUACCAUACGAAUAAGGACCGGCUAAUUCCGUGCCAGCAGCCGCGGUAAUACGGAAGGUCCAGGCGUUAUCCGGAUUUAUUGGGUUUAAAGGGAGCGUAGGCUGGAGAUUAAGUGUGUUGUGAAAUGUAGACGCUCAACGCCUGAAUUGCAGCGCAUACUGGUUUCCUUGAGUACGCACAACGUUGGCGGAAUUCGUCGUGUAGCGGUGAAAUGCUUAGAUAUGACGAAGAACUCCGAUUGCGAAGGCAGCUGACGGGAGCGCAACUGACGCUUAAGCUCGAAGGUGCGAGUAUCAAACAGG